CUCUCUCUCUCCCCUCUCUCUCUGUGUGUGUUAGGCCAGCUGGUGAGAGCACAAACCUUUCUGCAAAACAGGUCGCCUACAGGAGACAAAUCAUAAUUUUGAGGGGACCAGGAGAGCUUUCAUCUCUCCAAAAAUCGCCAAUUCACCCACGAACUCCUGUAAUGUCGUGGAACGAAGAUAAAUAACGGCCAACUUGUUCUCUCUGUUGGUGUUGAGCGGAUCGAGCUCCCGCGACACACCACGCACACACACAGCUCGGGCGUUCCCGCGACUCCUCAAGCGGCCAACGGAAGGGUGGCAGGCGAGAGGAGAGAGGAGGAGGAGAAGGGGAGAGAGGAGGGAGAGGAGGGGAGGAAACCCGACUGUUUUGAAGCUAUACGCCAGUAAACAUAGACUAUAAUCAUACACAGUGAACGAAGAGGAAACCGUCGCAGUGCUAUUUUAAUUCAGUGUGGAUGAAGCUAGGAUGAGAGAGACGCCAAAGGAGAGAGACGCCAUCGGUGACAAGAUAAAGGACUCCGCUAUUGGGAUGGCUGAGGUUUCACAGCAGGAGAGAAUUCAGGCCAUCGCUGAGAAGAGGAAGAGGCAGACAGAGAUUGAGAACAAGAGAGACAGCUGGAAGAUGACAGAAGACAGCUUCAAACACCUAAAGGUACACACACUCACACACACACACAGUCCUUUGUGUCUCUGUUUAGUACCAGAAGUCCUAGAAGAGAACUAACAGGAGUAGAAGCCAAGCUGUUGGGUCCCAGUCCAGACCAGGCCAGUGCUGAGAACCCUGUUACCCUGGUCUUCAUGGGCUAUACAGCUCUGGAGGGUGAGACAGCAGGGGAGGUGGGGGAGGCAGGGGGGACAGAGGGUGGAGACGGCUCAGUCAAGGCGGAGUUUGUGAUGCUACCAGACGGGGAGGGGAAGGGGGUAGGAGAGGGGGAGACGGAGACACAGGCAGCAGCCAAUGGGAGUACGGGUGAGAAGGGGGAGGCAAAUGGGGGAGGAGGGGAGGAGGGGGAGAAGGAAAAGAAACCGAGUUGCAAGUGUUGCACAGUCAUGUGAGUGUGUGUGUGUGUGUGUGUGUGUCAAAGAAAGAUGCUUGUGUGUGUGUGUGUGAGUGUGUCAGAGCAAGAAAGACUCGAGUGCGUACGUGUAUGUGUGUCUGAUCACACACUUCACAGGACUACAAAACCAAACAGUCCGACUCCUCCUGCCAAGCAGCAAAAACUACAGCCAACACCAACCAUAUACAGCCAACAGACACUGGAGAAUCAAUACUACUGUAUUACUGUAGUAGUACUACAACAACAACCUACAGCCAGGACAAUAUACACUAGACUAUGUCUUACUCUAGUACUACAAUAACAACCUACAGCCAGGACAAUAUACACUAGACUAUGUACUACUCUAGUACUACAAUAACAACCUAGAGCCAGGACAAUAUACACUAGACUAUGUACUACUCUAGUACUACAAUAACAACCUACAGCCAGGACAAUAUACACUAGACUAUGUACUACUCUAAUACUACAAUAACAACCUAGAGCCAGGACAAUAUACACUAGACUAUGUACUACUCAAGUACUACAAUAACAACCUAGAGCCAGGACAAUAUACACUAGACUAUGUAUUACUCUAGUACUACAAUAACAACCUACAGCCAGGACAAUAUACACUAGACUAUGUACUACUCUAGUACUACAAUAACAACCUACAGCCAGGACAAUAUACACUAGACUAUGUACUACUCUAGUACUACAAUAACAACCUACAGCCAGGACAAUAUACACUAGACUAUGUACUACUCUAGCACUACAAUAACAACCUAGAGCCAGGACAAUAACAACCUAGAGCCAGGACAAUAUACACUAGACUAUGUACUACUCUAGUACUACAAUAACAACCUACAGCCAGGACAAUAUACACUAGACUAUGUACUACUCUAGUACUACAAUAACAACCUACAGCCAGGACAAUACACACUAGACUAUGUACUACUCUAGUACUACAAUAACAACCUAGAGCCAGGACAAUAUACACUAGACUAUGUACUACUCUAGUACUACAAUAACAAUGGGGAAAUCUGAAAUGGAACCCUAUUCCCUAUAGUACUUUGGGCCAAAACACUCCCACAGUGCACUAGUAUAGGAAAAGGUGCUAGCUGCUGUUUCAGAUACAGCUAGUACCUCCAGACUGAUCAAACAAAACCUCCCUCACUGUGUACUGCUAUCGUACUACUAUUUACUACAAUGUAUUUCUUCUGAUAUGGAUUAUUCUUUUAUUGUGAUUGCUAUUUUUAUAUUUUUCUGUCUUGACAUUUCUAGUGUAUUCUGUGUGUACUUCUGUAUGCUCUUCUAUGAAUAGGAUGUUUAUUAUUGAACUGGAUGUGCCGUCCCGUUAUUGUUGAAAAGAAAAUGUAGCAGGUCUUUGUAUUGUAAUGUGUCUGCUAUCGGAGCCAUCUGGAAAAUGUCUAUCAUUGUUUUUUUUAGUCCAGAAUAUGAAGAAGACGUACAUUUUGUAUAUUUCCCUGUGUAUCGAGCAUUUAUCAGUCAGUUUCAUAUUAUAUUGUCUCUGUAAUAUAGUUUCACAGUGUGAACAGUAUUCAAAUAUGUUGAUAUCAAGUUUUAUACAAUGUAUUCAUUGGUUUGGUUUCUGCCAAAUCAUAGCCAGCCACACUCUGCAUGCAAGCUUGUACCAUCACCACAAAUCAAUAGGUAAACCAAUCAAUCAAUUCAUCAAUCAGCCACACCAUGUCAUCUGGUACAUCUCAGAUAACAUUAUUAUCUCUGUUUUAAACUGUCCAUCCCAUGUCGUCAUCUCUAUCUCAUCAUCUCAAGUCAUUUAUACUCUACUUACAUCUAGUAAUCUAUUGAUCUCCACUAAUCUCCUCAUUAGACUCACUAUGACACUGUGCAACUCAUAAACACAUUUCACUAUUUUAUUAUUAUUUUUAAUUAAAAGAUGGCUGUUUCACUGUUUGAGUCAAGCCCAGCCAUUGUUUUAAUGCUGAUGCUUAUGAAUUUUGUUGAGUCAGUGAUGUUGAAUAUUCUGAUGUAGCAUUAACUCUAACUCUGAUUAGUGUUGUUAUUGAUCGUAAUACUCCUCAUCAGGUCGGAUCAGUAUCAUUGAAAACUAUAUCCAUCCCUUCGGCAUAUUGCUUAACAUGAAUGUAAUAAUGGGUUCUAUUGGGAUCGAAGGGAAGGUGAAACCUGUCGUCAACAGAAUAAACCUUCCAUUCCCAGAGA